rnacentral:lncRNA from 12 species
CUAUGAUAGAACUUGUGGAGGAAAAGAGCCGUUAAAAUUCUAGAGAAGAAUGCCAGUUAUGAUUUCAUAAUAGGGGCAAUAAUUUACCAGGACCUUAAAAGAUAUGGAAGCUUUUGCCAAGUUAACUGGGGAAGUAAGAUGGGAAAAGAAAUAUAUGUAAGGGGGAAAACAGGAUGUGUGAAGAGAAUGACCAAAAUUCACUGGGAACAUCAGCCAUUUUGAUCUGGAGUUUAAGAGAAGUGGUCCUUUGGCUCUCUGAGGGUCUGAUAGUUGAAAUGAGGAGAGCAGAACAAAGAGCGAAGGUACACACAAAGAAAUGUUAGAACAUCCCAAUGAUGAACUCCUGCUUGUGCCCUCACACGACUGGGCUAGCUCCACAGUGUUCACUUUCCUUAAAUACUCUUCCAAGAAUCCUUUCCUGACUUCCCUUUAGACAAACUAAAGGACUCUUUUAAGAGGCAAAGAUACUGGGAACGCAGAAAAAGGUGAACACUCACCAAAUGCACAAAGUAAUUGUUGGUGAAAGGUUAGAGGACUUGUUUGUAAUUUCAUUGUCUCUUAAUUUGAAUAUGUGACCUUAUAUAGUAUGCAUACUUUGGAUUUUAAUAUAAACUCUUUGAAGUAUAAUAAGAGUUCCACUAUCUUUCUCUAAGUUAUCACUGAAUAGUGGAUAUAGUUAGGUGUCAGGACUUUUGACGUUCAGGUCUUGGGAAGAAGAAAAACAAGGAGAAAACAUCACACAUAUGGAAGAUUUGUCAUCGAAAACCCUACCAACUGGGACCAGUGGACAAGUUUUUUACCCUCUCUGAGGUUC